rnacentral:rRNA from 1 species
GAACUUAAGCAUAUCAAUAAGCGGAGGAAAAGAAACCAACAGGGAUUGCCUCAGUAACGGCGAGUGAAGCGGCAACAGCUCAAAUUUGAAAUCUGGCCGCAAGGUCCGAGUUGUAAUUUGUAGAGGAUGCUUUUGGCGAGGUGCCUUCCGAGUUCCCUGGAACGGGACGCCAUAGAGGGUGAGAGCCCCGUACGGUAGGACCACCAAGCCUCUGUAAAGCUCCUUCGACGAGUCGAGUAGUUUGGGAAUGCUGCUCUAAAUGGGAGGUGUACGUCUUCUAAAGCUAAAUACCGGCCAGAGACCGAUAGCGCACAAGUAGAGUGAUCGAAAGAUGAAAAGCACUUUGAAAAGAGGGUUAAAGAGUACGUGAAAUUGUUGAAAGGGAAGCAUUCAUGACCAGACUUGGGCUUGGUUGAACAUCCGGCGUUCUCGCCGGUGCACUCUGCCAGUCCAGGCCAGCAUCAGUUUGCCCCGGGGGAUAAAGGCGGCGGGAAUGUGGCUCCCUUCGGGGAGUGUUAUAGCCCGUCGUGUAAUGCCCUGGGGCGGACUGAGGAACGCGCUUCGGCACGGAUGCUGGCGUAAUGGUCAUCAAUGACCCGUCUUGAAACACGGACCAAGGAGUCGUCUUCGUAUGCGAGUGUUCGGGUGUCAAACCCCUACGCGUAAUGAAAGUGAACGUAGGUGAGAGCUUCGGCGCAUCACCGACCGAUCCUGAUGUUCUCGGAUGGAUUUGAGUAAGAGCAUACGGGGCCGGACCCGAAA